rnacentral:rRNA from 1 species
GGGUCAGUAGGUUGGUCGUGCCACCGGUACGUACUGGUCUCACUGAUUCCUCCUUCCUGAAUAACCGUAAUGCCAUUAAUUUGGUGUUGCGGGGAAACAGGACUGUUACUUUGAAAAAAUUAGAGUGUUUAACGCAGGCUAACGCUUGAAUACAUUAGCAUGGAAUAAUGAAAUAGGACGAUCGAUCCUAUUUUGUUGGUUUCUAGGAUUGACGUA